UACGUAGGGUGCAAGCGUUAAUCGGAAUUAUUGGGAGUAAAGAGUGCGUAGGCGGUUGUGUAAGAAAGAUGUGAAAUCCCCGGGCUUAACCUGGGAAUUGCAUUUGUGACUGCACGGCUAGAGUGUGUCAGAGGGGGGUAGAAUUCCACGUGUAGCAGUGAAAUGCGUAGAUAUCGAUCGGAACACCCAUGGCGAAGGCAGCUCGCUGGCCUGCAACUGACGCUGAGGCGCGAAAGCGUGGGGAGCAAACAGG
rnacentral:rRNA from 1 species